GUCUACAGCCCUACCACCCUGAACAUGCCCGAUCUCGUCUGAUCUCGGACGCUAAGCAGGGUCAGGCCUGGUUAGUACUUGGAUGGGAGAUUCUGGAAUUCCACCUGUGGGCC
rnacentral:rRNA from 1 species